AGAGUUUGAUCCUGGCUCAGAUUGAACGCUGGCGGAAUGCUUUACACAUGCAAGUCGAACGGCAGCACGGGGGCAACCCUGGUGGCGAGUGGCGAACGGGUGAGUAAUACAUCGGAACGUGCCCAGUCGUGGGGGAUAACGCAGCGAAAGCUGUGCUAAUACCGCAUACGAUCUACGGAUGAAAGCGGGGGAUCGCAAGACCUCGCGCGAUUGGAGCGGCCGAUGGCAGAUUAGGUAGUUGGUGGGGUAAAGGCUCACCAAGCCGACGAUCUGUAGCUGGUCUGAGAGGGACGACCAGCCACACUGGGGACUGGAGACACGGGCCCAAAACUCCCUACGGGAGGCAGGCAGUGGGGGAUUUUGGGACAAUGGGGCGCAAGCCUUGGAUCCCGCCCUUCCCCCGUGCCAGGAUGGAGGGCCUCCGGGUUUGUAAACUGGUUUUUGGGACGGGAACGGAAAAAACUCUUUUUCUAAUAACGAAAAAGUCCUGGACGGUUCCCUAAAGAAUAAACACCCGGCUUAAUUUCCUGGCCCACAGCCCCCGGGAAUAACUAAGGGGGGAAGCGGUUAAUCCGGAAAUUUACUGGGGCGGAAAACGGGGCGCCAGGGGGUGAUAGGUUAAACAAGAAAGUUGAAAAUCCCCCCGGGUCUCAACAUUAGGGAACUGGCGAUUUGUGAAUGGCAUCGCUUGGAAUGCCGCGAGAAGGGGGAUGGGAAUUCCGUCGGUGGUAGCACUGGAAAUGUGCGUAUGAUUAUUGCGGGAAGGAGACACCCGAUUGGGCGGGAGAGGCGAAUCCUCCUCGGGGGCCUGGCGUCUGAUGAGCGUUCAUGCGACGAAAGACGCUGUGGUGAAGCCAACACCAGGAUUAUGAUAUACCUGCGCGUAGUGUCAACGGCCUAAACGAUAGGUUCAGACUGGUUGGUUGGGUAUCGUUCAUGACUCUGAGAUACGAAGCUAACGCGUGAGUUGACCGCUGGGGAGUACGCCGCAAGUGAACUCAAGGAUUGACGGGACCGCACAAGCGUUGAUGAUGUGGUUUAUUCGAUGCAACGCGAAAACCUACCCCACCUUGACAUGUACGGAAUUUGCCAGAGAUGGCCUUAGUGCUCGAAAGAGAACCGUAACACAGGUGCUGCAUGGCUGUCGUCAGCUCGUGUCGUGAGAUGUUGGGUUAAGUCCCGCAACGAGCGCAACCCUUGUCAUUAGUUGCUACAUUUAGUUGGGCACUCUAAUGAGACUGCCGGUGACAAACCGGAGGAAGGUGGGGAUGACGUCAAGUCCUCAUGGCCCUUAUAGGUGGGGCUACACACGUCAUACAAUGGCCGGUACAAAGGGCUGCCAACCCGCGAGGGGGAGCUAAUCCCAUAAAACCGGUCGUAGUCCGGAUCGCAGUCUGCAACUCGACUGCGUGAAGUCGGAAUCGCUAGUAAUCGUGGAUCAGAAUGUCACGGUGAAUACGUUCCCGGGUCUUGUACACACCGCCCGUCACACCAUGGGAGCGGGUUCUGCCAGAAGUAGUUAGCCUAACCGCAAGGAGGGCGAUUACCACGGCAGGGUUCGUGACUGGGGUGAAGUCGUAACAAGGUAACC
rnacentral:rRNA from 1 species